UGAAGAUAUUUUUGUCAGCUCCUCCACAGAAACAAGAAUAUUUGAAUCCCUCCAACCAAAUAUUGGGCAUUUUCUCCACAAAUCCAUGUUUACAUGCAAAAUCUAAAUUGAUAAACUCAUCGUCAUACAUAUCCCCACCAAGCUUAUCCAAUUCUAAAUCUAUGAUAUAAAUAGCCUGCUCCCCCCCCAAAUCCAAAACGGCACACACCCUUUGCAUCAGUUGGCUCAUCAUAUUUAUCUCUCUAGGCCGAAUGCGUGUAGAAGAAGACGGCGGAAACGGAAGCGAACGAGUAAACGGAUGCAUAGGCCGAAAGCGUGAAGAAGAAGACAGGCGGAAUUGAAGGCGAACGAUUAAACGGAUGCAUCGUAAAAAGGCUUUUUAGUGG
rnacentral:lncRNA from 1 species